rnacentral:rRNA from 1 species
GGAUCUCUUGGUUCUGGCAUCGAUGAAGAACGCAGCGAAAUGCGAUAAGUAGUGUGAAUUGCAGAAUUCAGUGAAUCAUCGAAUCUUUGAACGCACAUUGCGCCCCUUGGUAUUCCAUGGGGCAUGCCUGUUCGAGCGUCAUUCGUACCCUCAAGCUCUGCUUGGUGUUGGGUGUUGUCUUGUCCUUUAGCGACUGGACUCGCCUUAAAGUUAUUGGCAGCCGGCACAUUGGCCUUGGAGCGCAGCACAUUUUGCGAUCUAAGCCGCUGUUUUGGCGUCCAUAAGCCUUUUAUAUCACUUUUGACCUCGGAUCAGGUAGGAAUACCCGCUGAACUUAAGCAUAUCAAUAAGCGGAGGA